AGAGUUUGAUCAUGGCUCAGGACGAACGCUGGCGGCGUGCUUAACACGUGCAAGUCGAACGAGGUCCACGGUGUAGCAAUACACCUGAAGACCUAGUGGCGAACGGGUGCGUAACACGUGAGGAACUUGUCCCGGUCUCUGGGAUAACAGUUGGAAACGACUGCUAAUACCGGAUGACGUCGGAGCAUCGCAUGGUGCGCUGACGAAAGGGUUACUGGAUCGGGAGAGCCUCGCGGCCUAUCAGCUUGUUGGUGGGGUAACGGCCCACCAAGGCAUCGACGGGUAGCUGGUCUGAGAGGAUGAUCAGCCACACUGGGACUGAGACACGGCCCAGACUCCUACGGGAGGCAGCAGUGGGGAAUCUUGCGCAAUGGGCGAAAGCCUGACGCAGCAACGCCGCGUGCGGGAUGAAGGCUCUCGGGUUGUAAACCGCUUUCAGCAGGAACGAAAAUGACGGUACUGCAGAAGAAG
rnacentral:rRNA from 1 species